GCCAAUGUGGAAUGUAAUUCUGGGCACUCAUAAGCAAACGUGUUCAUAUAUCUCAGCUUGUCAUAAAUGUACAAUGACGGGAACGAUUUGCAUCGUGAUCUGCAAGGAGUAACUCCAGGAAACGAGAAACGUAUUCAUACUCGCCAGACUAUGACCAAAAUGUCUUUUUAAAUUUCUUAGAGAAAGGCAACUGUUUAACACGUUGCCUCUCCCAGUUACAUUUUUGCAGAAACCAUCUAGACAUGACACAUUUUUGUUCACUUAGAAUUUGGGCUGCUGGUCUUUGGUAGUCAUUGAGGGUUUCUGGAAUGUCCACAGUGGUGAAAAAGAAUUAUUUAUUUACAUAGAAAGUCUUUCGGAGGAGAAUUCAACAGGAUUCUUCUCAAGUAUGCUGAGGGACGUGAAAACAAUAUACUGUAGUUUUGCUGCAGGGUUAAACACAAAAAAACACAGACUAAC